rnacentral:rRNA from 1 species
UUCUGGUUGAUCCUGCCAGAGGUCACUGCUAUCGGGGUUCGAUUAAGCCAUGCGAGUCGAGAGGGUUCGGCCCUCGGCGUACUGCUCAGUAACACGUGGAUAACCUGCCCUAGGGAAGGGGAUAACCCCGGGAAACUGGGGAUAAUACCCUAUAGAUUACAGAUGCUGGAAUGCCCUGUAACCCAAAGUUCCGACGCCCUAGGAUGGAUCUGCGGCCGAUUAGGUUGUUGUUGGGGUAAUGGCCCAACAAGCCCGUAAUCGGUACGGGUUGUGGGAGCAAGAGCCCGGAGUUGGAUUCUGAGACACGAAUCCAGGCCCUACGGGGCGCAGCAGGCGCGAAAACUUUACAAUGCGGGCAACCGUGAUAAGGGAACCUCGAGUGCCUGUAAAUGCAGGCUGUUCAGGUGCCUAAAACACACCUGAAGAAAGGGCCGGGCAAGACCGGUGCCAGCCGCCGCGGUAAUACCGGCGGCUCGAGUGGUGGCCACUUUUAUUGGGCUUAAAGCGUUCGUAGCUGGGUUGUUAAGUCUCUUGGGAAAUCCGGCGGCUCAACCGUCGGGCGUCUAAGAGAUACUGGCAGUCUUGGAACCGGGAGAGGUGAGGGGUACUUCGGGGGUAGGAGUGAAAUCCUGUAAUCCUCGAGGGACCACCUGUGGCGAAGGCGCCUCACCAGAACGGCUUCGACAGUGAGGGACGAAAGCUGGGGGAGCAAACCGGAUUAGAUACCCGGGUAGUCCCAGCCGUAAACGAUGUGCGUUAGGUGUAUCGACGACCACGAGUCGUCGAGGUGCCGAAGGGAAACCGUGAAACGUACCGCCUGGGAAGUACGGUCGCAAGGCUGAAACUUAAAGGAAUUGGCGGGGGAGCACCACAACAGGUGGAGCCUGCGGUUUAAUUGGACUCAACGCCGGGAAUCUCACCGGAUAAGACAGCAGAAUGAUUGCCGGGCUGAAGACUCUGCAUGACUAGCUGAGAGGAGGUGCAUGGCCGUCGUCAGUUCGUACUGUGAAGCAUCCUGUUAAGUCAGGCAACGAGCAAGACC